AUCAUAAAAUAACUUUCCAGUUUGACUUUUGAAAGUUGUAGUUUAGCAAUAAAGCAGAUUUAAUUUUUCUCCACUACCUUAAUAAAAGCUUGUGAAUUUGUUGCAGAGAAAAUACAGUAGAAGCCCUCUUAUCCAAAAUGAUUGAGACCAGCAGUUUAGUUAAUCAAAAAAACCCAUGUAAGCAUCUAGCAGUUGCUUACUAUUAUAAAUGAUGGAAUAAAUAUCUUUGUUGGAAUAAAUAUCUUUGUUGAUUUCAACUUUUAUAGUGAAUUCCAUAAGAACUCUAUACCCAGAUUGAAAAGUGCUUAUUAACAUUUUGCCCUGUGUG